UACCUACGGGACGCAGCAGUAGGGAAUUUUCGUCAAUGGGCGCAAGCCUGAACGAGCAAUGCCGCGUGAACGAGGAAGGUCUUCGGAUCGUAAAGUUCUGUUGAAGGGGAAAAAGAGCGGAGAGAGGAAAUGGUCUCCGAUUGAUAUUACCCUUCGAGGAAGUCACGGCUAACUACGUGCCAGCAGCCGCGGUAAUACGUAGGUGGCAAGCGUUAUCCGGAUUUACUGGGUGUAAAGGGCGUGUAGGCGGGACUGCAAGUCAGAUGUGAAAAUUAUGGGCUCAACCCAUAACCUGCAUUUGAAAA
rnacentral:rRNA from 1 species